GGAGGGUGCAAGCGUUAAUCGGAAUUACUGGGCGUAAAGCGCGCGUAGGUGGCUUGAUAAGCCGGUUGUGAAAGCCCCGGGCUCAACCUGGGAACGGCAUCCGGAACUGUCAGGCUAGAGUGCAGGAGAGGAAGGUAGAAUUCCCGGUGUAGCGGUGAAAUGCGUAGAGAUCGGGAGGAAUACCAGUGGCGAAGGCGGCCUUCUGGACUGACACUGACACUGAGGUGCGAAAGCGUGGGUAGCAAACAGGAUUAGAUACCCUGGUAGUCCACGCCGUGAACGAUGUCGACCAGCCGUUGGGUGCCUAGCGCACCUUGUGGCGAAGUUAACGCGAUAAGUCGACCGCCUGGGGAGUACGGCCGCAAGGUUA
rnacentral:rRNA from 1 species